GAUGAACGCUGGCGGCGUGCCUAAUACAUGCGAGUCGAGCGAACAGACGAGGAGCUUGCUCCUCUGACGUUAGCGGCGGACGGGUGAGUAACACGUGGAUAACCUACCUAUAAGACUGGGAUAACUUCGGGAAACCGGAGCUAAUACCGGAUAAUAUAUUGAACCGCAUGGUUCAAUAGUGAAAGACGGUUUUGCUGUCACUUAUAGAUGGAUCCGCGCCGCAUUAGCUAGUUGGUAAGGUAACGGCUUACCAAGGCAACGAUGCGUAGCCGACCUGAGAGGGUGAUCGGCCACACUGGAACUGAGACACGGUCCAGACUCCUACGGGAGGCAGCAGUAGGGAAUCUUCCGCAAUGGGCGAAAGCCUGACGGAGCAACGCCGCGUGAGUGAUGAAGGUCUUCGGAUCGUAAAACUCUGUUAUUAAGGAAGAGCAAAUGUGUAAGUAACUAUGCACGUCUUGACGGUACCUAAUCAGAAAGCCACGGCUAACUACGUG
rnacentral:rRNA from 1 species